UUGUCACCCUUGCUGCCCUGAGGGCCAGGCUCCCCUUGGGGACCCUCCCUGCCCAUGUACCCUGGCAGGCCCAUUGGGCCUGGGUCCCCUUUGUCACCUGUGGGGAUAAAAAGGGGACAAGUCAGGGUGGACAUCUGAGCCUGCUCCAAGGAGGUGCCCACACUCAUCUGUGACGGCUCUGCCCCUGUCCUGGCCCAGAGAAGAAGCCAGCAUUUAUUUAGCACCUACUGUAUGCCAGACAUUGCCUCCCCACAUGCCUGCCUAAAGAAAACAUCAUGACCGUCUUCACUUCACAGAGAGGGUGAGUGACUCACCCCGGGCCACACAGUGCAGGAGCAGAAGAGGCAGGACUUAAAAUAUGGUCUGUCCCCAGGGUGACUUGACUUCCCCUCACCCAGCAGGGAGGGUCCGACUGGUGUCUCUGGGAGGCCAGGCCCAGGCCCCCACCCCAGGACCACAGCGCAGUCCAGGCUGGCAGGGAUGUGGGGUGUGCUGGAACAUACUUUGGGUUUCUGACCCAGGGAAGAAACCAAGAAAAAUACAUUUGCCCACCUGGAGGAAAAGCCCAGGUUAGGAGCCAGGAAGCCCUUGGUUGGCAGUCCUGCCCUGUGUGACCUCGGGCACUCCACGGCUGGGGUCUCGGUUUUCUGGUCUAUAUUUUAAAGAGGAUUAUGUCCACCUCAGGGGUGUUUGUGAGCCCUCAACAAAAUGUCCUGUGGGAAAGCACUUUGCAAACUCUGCAACUAAGAGGCAGAACAGUUCACCCAGCACGGCUGGCCCAUCCCGACCUGCUCUGAGGUCUGGCAGCAUCUACAAUGGCCCCCAGGCAGGCACAGCCCUGCCCGGCCCUUAGUCCAGGCUGACUUUCAACAUAAGAAAAGCAGGUGACCACCCACGCCUGGAGGGACCCGACCUCACAUAGCUCCCUGCCACCUGUCACAGUGCCUGGAGUCACACGAGCAACCACAUCCUUGCAUGGGCUAGAAGGCCCUGUGUUUUCCACAGGGGGGGAAGGGGACAGAAAGGAGGGCACAGGCCCUUGAGGUGGAAGCCCAGAGAGCUGGGCAGGGCAAGGCCACAGCUCUGCAGGGUUCUGGCUCCACCGCCUGGCUGGAGAACCACGUCCUCACCUGCACAGCUCUAGACCUUGUGCAGGAAGUUUGUUGUGCCCCAGCCCAAGGAAAGGAAGGAGUGGAGGGUGGACAGGACGAAGGGACUAUCUUCUUUUUACAAAUAAGGCAGCAAGCUCAGGGCGGGGGAGAGACCAGCCUGACUCACUGGGCAAGGGGGCAGAAGAGGUGAGGCUGGGACCCAGGACUCCCAAAGCCAGCCCGAGGUCCCUCACGGCAGCCUACCCACCUCCCAGCAGGCUGCUGAGCUGGGCCCAGGAGCAGUGACCCUGGGUUUGGGGAGGGCAAUGAGGAGGGACCAUCAGCAGCCAGGCACCUCUCCAACCUCAUGCAGAGAGCUAAGUCAGCCCUGGGGAAGCUGGGUGGGGAGGGGGGUGUGAGGAAGAGCAACGUCCUCACCACGAAAUCAGAACAAGGGCAGGCCAGGUGCCAGGUGACCACUGGCUGUGCAGUGAGUGUCCCCGGGGAGAGCUCAGGAACAAAUCCUGGCUCCAUCCCUGACAGCUGUGUGGCCCCAGGAGACUGGGUUUCCCCAUCUGCAAAGUGGGAGGAAUAAGAAAAUAUCGACCUCACGGGCUGUUGUGGGCAGAGACGGACGCUAAGGAUGUCAAGGCCUGGUCACAGCCGUCAGCCACCACAGCCUGGAAGGGAAGCGAGUCCUUCCACGUCCUAUUGAGAGAGCGGGUAGCCAGCCCGCACCUGGACGGCCCUCACCUGGAUGCCUUUCACCUGGACGGGCCCUCACCUGGACAGCCCUCACCUGGACAGCCCUCACCUGGAUGGCCCUCACCUGGACAGGCCCCACAGGGCUGCAUGCUCCGACCCUCGGCCCCCGCUGGUUGCUCUCCACAUGACAUUAGAGGGAUCCAUUUGAAACCUGGGUGGGAUCAAGUCCCUGUCCCACCCAAACCUGCCCCUGUUCCCACUCCACUCAGCGGAGCCCAAGUCCCUACAGUAGCCGGGUGGUGACAGCACCCCAUGUGAUCUGAGCCUGGUGCAUCUCCCGGCCCUGCCCCAGGGCCCCUGCACCAGCUGUGCCCUUUGCCAGGAGGCUCCUCCACCACCUCUUAGAAGCCUGUGCUCCAUGGGUCCUCCACUGACCACCUCAUUCAAUAUGCAGCCUGCAGCCCAGACCCGCACUCCUGAAGCCCCUUUUCAUUUCCCAGAGCACUGAUCACCAUCGAACAUUCCACUCCACUAACUUAGGUGAUGUGUGCCUUGCUCACAGCCCAUCUCCCCACCGAGAACGGGUGCUCAGGCAGGAGGCAUCUUGGUCUGGUUUGUUCACGCUCCGUCAUCAGUGUUUGGAACAGACCAGGCUCACAUUGGGGCUCAAUAACUCAGGAUGAAAGAGGAGUCUGGACAGGUUUCCGCCCUGCCCUCUACUCCCUCCACCUCAGCUCCCUGGCCCUCCCUGCCCACUACCAGGCCCCACAGGAGGGCACUCACCCUUCAGGAUGGUGAUAUUAAUGUAGGGUCUGAUCUCAGGCAGGGCGUGGGGGCGGCCGGAGGAAGAGGCUGAGGAUACAUGGGCAGGAUCCAG
rnacentral:lncRNA from 10 species